rnacentral:rRNA from 1 species
GGUUGCGAUCACCAACACUAAUGCACCGGAUCCCAUCAGAACUCCGCAGUUAAGCGAGCUUGGGCGAGAGUAGUUGAUGUGUGUAAAAUGCAACAU